rnacentral:rRNA from 1 species
AUGGCAACAUCGGUUGUGGCUGAGAAGGUCAUUAAACCCUUCCCACCUAGAGGAAGGAGAAGUCGUAACAAGGUUUCCGUAGGUGAACCUGCGGAAGGAUCAUUG